GUAAUCGAUGGGAAACAGAUUAAUAUUUCUGUACUUCCGCUAACUGCGAUGGAGAGACGGAGAAGGCUAGGCUAGCGCGGCGUUGGUAGUCCGCGUUUAAGGUGGUAGGUGGGUGACUUAGGCAAAUCCGGGUUGCUAUACACUGAGAGCUGAUGACGAGGUCCUAAGGGACUGAAGUAGUUGAUGCCAUGCUUCCAGGAAAAUCUUCUAAGCUUCAGGUUAGUGGGAAUCGUACCCCAAACCGACACAGGUGGUCGGGUAGAGAAUACCAAGGCGCUUGAGAGAACUCGGCUGAAGGAACUAGGCAAAAUGGUACCGUAACUUCGGGAGAAGGUACGCUCCUGUUGGUGAUGAGACUUGCUCUCUAAGCUGACGGGAGUCGCAGAUACCAGGUGGCUGCAACUGUUUAUCAAAAACACAGCACUGUGCAAACUCGCAAGAGGAAGUAUACGGUGUGACGCCUGCCCGGUGCCGGAAGGUUAAUUGAUUGGGUUAUCGCAAGAGAAGCUCAUGAUCGAAGCCCCGGUAAACGGCGGCCGUAACUAUAACGGUCCUAAGGUAGCGAAAUUCCUUGUCGGGUAAGUUCCGACCUGCACGAAUGGCGUAAUGAUGGCCACGCUGUCUCCAGCCGAGACUCAGUGAAGUUGAAAUUGCGGUGAAGAUGCCGUAUACCCGCGGCUAGACGGAAAGACCCCGUGAACCUUUACUAUAGCUUGGCACUGAACAUUGAACCUACAUGUGUAGGAUAGGUGGGAGACUAUGAAGUUGGGACGCUAGUCCUGAUGGAGUCGUCCUUGAAAUACCACCCUUGUAGUUUUGAUGUUCUAACCUAGACCCCUAAUCGGGGUUAGGGACAGUGCCUGGUGGGUAGUUUGACUGGGGCGGUCUCCUCCCAAAGAGUAACGGAGGAGCACGAAGGUUGGCUAAGUACGGUCGGACAUCGUACGGUUAGUGCAAUGGCAUAAGCCAGCUUAACUGCGAGACAUACACGUCGAGCAGGUACGAAAGUAGGUCAUAGUGAUCCGGUGGUUCUGAAUGGAAGGGCCAUCGCUCAACGGAUAAAAGGUACUCCGGGGAUAACAGGCUGAUACCGCCCAAGAGUUCAUAUCGACGGCGGUGUUUGGCACCUCGAUGUCGGCUCAUCACAUCCUGGGGCUGAAGUCGGUCCCAAGGGUAUGGCUGUUCGCCAUUUAAAGUGGUACGCGAGCUGGGUUCAGAACGUCGUGAGACAGUUCGGUCCCUAUCUGCCGUGGGCGUUGGAUGAUUGAGGGGAGUUGCUCCUAGUACGAGAGGACCGGAGUGAACGAACCGCUGGUGUUCGGGUUGUCAUGCCAAUGGCAUUGCCCGGUAGCUACGUUCGGAAUCGAUAACCGCUGAAAGCAUCUAAGCGGGAAGCGAGCCCCAAGAUGAGUCAUCCCUUGGACUAUAAGUCCACUAAAGAGCC
rnacentral:rRNA from 1 species